GCCCCGAUUAUAGACGGUGGAGAACCAGUGAAGGAGAACAGAGAACCCAGGUCUGGAUCUGAUGCAGUAACAGUAGUAGCCAACCAACGGAGGCCUGCGUGAGGGCAGAGGGGCUGAGCCGGGAGCCCGGGGCUGGGAGGUCUGCCCCAGGGUGUAGAGGGGACAAGGCCAUAGCUGUUCCAGAUAGGAGGGCACAAAGGGCAAUGAAGGCAUGUCUGUGCCUGCCUGACCCAUCCUAGGGAGCAGUCACUGCCUUUUACUCUCUGGAAGCAAACUUUUUUGUUAGCCACACUGUCUUGCAGGAAAAAGAUGGUGGUGUAUUUUAUCUCUGAGCCAGACAGAGUUUCUGAGAAGAUGUAUUUAACUGCAACUAGGAUAUUAGACUUUUUGGUCCAGUUUGUAUGGGCUACUUCUGCUCCUGCCUUAUGGUGACCUCAGAAUCCUCACAGGAACCUUGACGCUCACGACCAAGCUCAUCCGUAGGCUUGACAGAGAAACAGAAGCCAUCGUUGCAUCAGGGAGAGAAUGGAUGGUAACGGGUGAAUCUCUCACUCCCUCUGGAUUCUGGAGACGGGGCUGCUCCCACGCCAAGGCAGGAGUCCUAACACGCCCAGACUUGCACCACUGCCAAGAACUCGCAAGUUUACCCAGGGUCCCAGCCCAUGAAGUGUUUACGGUCAUCAUUGCAGGGGUAACCUGGCCUCUUGCCUGCCCCAACGUUCUCCUGUUUACC